rnacentral:lncRNA from 1 species
GAGUUAUCACAAAUUUACUGAAAAUGUCACUGAUUCCAAGAAUGUUCGGCGAUCGACGAAGCAGCGUCUUUGAUCCAUUCUCAAUCGACCUAUGGGAUCCCUUCAGGGAAUUGGGCUUUCCAGGUUCCAAUUCACGGGAGACCUCUGCAUUCGCUCACACUCGAGUCGAUUGGAAGGAAACUCCGGAGGCUCAUGUGUUCAAGGCCGAUCUCCCCGGGCUUAAGAAGGAGGAAGUGAAAGUCGAGAUCGAAGAUGAUAGGGUUCUUCAAAUAAGCGGCGAGAGGAAUGUGGAGAAAGAAGAGAAGAAUGAUACGUGGCACCGUGUGGAACGCAGCAGCGGCAAAUUUAUGAGACGAUUCAGGCUCCCAGAAAAUGCGAAAAUGGAUCAAGUUAAGGCGGCGAUGGAGAAUGGAGUGCUUACUGUUACUGUUCCGAAAGAAGAGGUGAAGAAGCCUGAUGUCAAAUCCAUUGAUAUCACUGGUUAGAUGGACGCUGAAAUAUGUAAGAACGCUAUGAUAUGUGAGCAAGUAUAUAUGAAAUCGAAUAGAAGUUGCUCUGUUUUUGUAUCUUGUCUGUAUCUGCUAUAAUUUAGAAUAAAGAUACGUAGAUAUCCUAUCAAGUAGUCUAGAGAAUAUGGGCAAGUAUGAAUGAAGAAUGUAGGCGUGUAUUGUUGAGGAUUGGAAGUUGCUCUGUUUCUGUAUCUUGCCCUAGGUCGAUUCUGUUUCUUGGCCUAAUGUCGCGUUUGAUGUAUUUCCAUAAAAAAUUUAUGUUGAAAAUGUAAUAGUAAUGUAGUUUUAUUAUAA